GAGUUCCUACCUACUUGAAAAACAUGGUGAAUACCUGUCAUAACUAUCCCAGGAGAUCCUAAGAGAGAGAAUUGGGAGCUCUGUGUCCAUGGAAUGAUGUCUCCGGAAGUGUCACAACUACUGAUGCUCAGCCUGCCUUUCCCUUUUCAGUCCUCAGCAGCCUGCAUGCUCUCCAUCACCUUAUCCCCAAGCAUGUUUGCCUGACUCCUGCCUUCCUUUCCCAACCUCCCCACCCCAGGACCCACUGCCUUCUUCCACUGUUGAAUGUGGCUGAAAUCAGGGAAACCUUUGCUUGUUUAUUUUUAAAAAAGGGAGUCCUCAGUAGGGAACAAAGUCAUUUCAUUGUGCCAUUCUAGGGGGCUCAUGUGUGGAGGACUGACAACACCACCUAAGACUGACUGAUCCCAGCAAGCUGGCUCCUUCCCACAUAUAUUUCUUAAUGGUCUGGUGUCCAUCUGGCAAGGGGACAGGAUGGCAGUUCCUGGGAUGAGUGGGACAGGCUUGGGGUCUGCACUCAAGGAGCUUAUGAUUCAGUGAAGAAGACACAGUGGACAAGCUGUUGAAAAGGUGAUGAGUUGUGAGAAAGGGCAAGUAGAGGGGGCUAGAGUCUCAACCUGGGGGCACUAACCAAGUCUGAGGGAUCAUGGGAGUGCAUGUUGGAUUUGGCUGGAUGAAGGUUGGAGAAGAAAACUUCCACAUGGAAGCAACCAUUUCCACAAAACUCCUCAUGCAGGAGAACCAGUCACAUCUGAAGAACUACCAAAGGCCAGUAGGUCUGAGCAAUGAAAAUGAAGGAAGGCAUCUCACAUGUGGCUGAAGAAGGAGGCAGUGAGGCCGUGGGAGACCCUGAGAGCCAUGGCAAAGAUUUUGAACUUCAUACCCAGAACACCAGUAAGCUUUGAAGGAUUUUAGGCUGAACAGUGACCUGUUUAUCUUUUAACAGUUCUGGUGUCAGAAAAAGGAACUGAAGGAGACCCUUGAAGACCCCCAGGAGCACAAGGAACCAGACUUUUCUUUGACACUUCUCAAUCUUGAGGUAAACAGAUGCUGGUCAAGAAAAGGAAUAAUCGUUUGGAUAGAGAGGUUAAUCAUAAACUUGGCAGAGGAGCUCAGUUUUAGUGGGACUUGGUUUCAAGCCCCACUCCUGUUUCAACCUUUCUCAAAUCUUUCAGGGAACAACAGGCCAACUGCUGUGGCUACUUCCUGCUGAAACGGGGCAUAAUCCUGCCUCAGUUUGGAGAAUGGACACCAAAUUGAAAAUAUUCUUGACUUCCAGGUCCUGGGAUCUUGUAUGAUCAGGAUCUCAAUCCCUUGAUCUGUCAUUUUGGUACAACAGGCCCAAUUAGAAGUAGGAGGAGUGACAACCUGAACGUUAAUGGACAAAAUAGAUCUCAUUACCAUAUGAAUUCAAGAGAAUAAGCCUGAAACCCAGUCUGGACCUAUCACUUCAAGGAGACUUUUAGCCCCAGGUAUCCAGUUGUCUAAUUUUACCUACUUUUAGCCAGGUAUCCAGUUGUCUAAUUUUACCUAAGUAGGUCUAAACUUCCGAUGUGGUAUUAUACAUAACAGGAGCUAUUGGCCACUACACAUAUAUCUCUUUUUUUCUGCUGAUCUAAAGCAAUUUUAUUGUCUAAAAUUUAAUAGUUACAAGGGGAGACCUUGAAGCCAUAAGGUUGCAGCUUCCACCUGCCAGCAGAAACUACCUUGAGAAUGGCUAGUGGCAUCCUGAAUCUGUCACAGCUCAGAAAACUCUAAGUUCCCAGCAAUAUAGGAACAUGUCUAAAAUCACAUCUGGGACUUCCCUGGCUGUCCAAUGGUUAGGACUCUGUGCUUCCACUGCAGGGGGCAUGGGUUCGAUCCUUGGUUAGGGAACUAAGAUGCCACAUGCCGUGUGGCGCUGCCAAAAAUUUUUUUAAAAAUAAUUAAUUAAUUUAAAAAAUAACACUGGAACCAGCUCAACCACACCCAGGCCCCAGACACACUGAAAUCCUGAGAUAAAAAAUGUUAUUUUUAGCCAAUAAGUUCUGGCGUAAUUUGGUACAGCGUUAGGUGACUAAUCCUCUACCUCACUUUACUCAGGUCUCUGCUCAAAUGUCUCGCGUUUCACCUCCAAAACCAAGCAAAUCAACAAAAGUGAUCACACAUUAUUCUCUAUCCCCUUACCCCCAUCUGCAUUAUUCCUUACGGGAAUUAUCUCUACUUACAUAUAUAUUAUGUAUUUAUUUAUUAGCUAGCUUCCCUCCUAGAAUGAAAAUUGAAUGGAAACGAUGUCUCUCAUUUCACUGGUAAAUAAGAUGAAUAUAUAUUCGCCCUGAUGGUGCUUAGGUCUGUUUGACAAAUACUUAUUUUAGGGCUACUAUAUACCAGGUCCAGUGACCAUGGGUUAUUUCUUCCUGUUCCCUGGUGUCUGGGCUGUUUAAUUUUAGUCUCUGGGCUAAUUAUUUUUUUCCUUGUUAUCGUUGUUAAAUUGCUCUGCUUUGAUAAUGCAUCUUUCUAUGCCUUUAACUGAGUAUUUAAUUAAAAUACAAACAUUUUGCCAAGGCUAGAGCUUGUAUGUGCUCACUUGAAGUCCCAUGAUGAAUGAUCAUAAUUAUUUGAAUAUUUCUUACUUCACACUGUACUGAAAUCUAACUUCCUAUUACUUUCAUCGAUUGACCUUUCCUUUAUUACAGAAAUAAUAAAGAACAUAUCUAUUCUGUUCCACAAACCUGGUUCUAAUUAUUAUACUAAUAUUAACUCUAUUUCUUUGGGUAUAAGGUCUGUUUAUUGAAUUUAUUGUCUUUUUUUUAUGCUAUAGACUUUUCUUGGAUGUUUGGUAUUUCCCCAUUUGGUGCUCACCUUUGCAAUUGAGAUUCCAAUUCAACUUUCUGCUUCAUUAGAGGAGGUGUGGGAGCUACUCCUGAGGCUCACUGUCCCCCAGUUUCCACUGGGAGUGGGAGGGUUCACAGUGCCAUUAGCCAGGCAAAAAAAAUUCAAGGUGGGAAAAGUCACAUGAAUCAAGGUACCAAAAAAAAAAUGUCACAUUCCUUUAUAUUUCCCGAGAAGUUUUUAUCGUUUUGACCCCUUGUGUGAGUUCGAAUGACAAAUUCCAGGUCCUGCCAAGUGACUACAAGGUAUUUCUCAGUCCCUCUCUUUAUCCUCCCUCCUGUCCCUUCAGUGAAGUCCCUGGAGGGUAAA